rnacentral:rRNA from 1 species
UACGAAGGGGGGCUAGCGUUGCUCGGAAUCACUGGGCGUAAAGCGCACGUAGGCGGAUCGUUAAGUCAGGGGUGAAAUCCUGGAGCUCAACUCCAGAACUGCCUUUGAUACUGGACGGACUUCUAGUUCGGGAGAGGUGAGUGGAACUGCGAGUGUAGAGGUGAAAUUCGUAGAUAUUCGCAAGAACACCAGUGGCGAAGGCGGCUCACUGGCCCGAUACUGACGCUGAGGCACGAAAGCGUGGGGAGCAAACAGG